rnacentral:rRNA from 1 species
GAGAUCUACCCAUGCGAGUGGAACGUCCUCCUGUUGCGGGGGGCGUCGCACACGGCUCAGUAACACGUAGUCAACCUGCCCUGGAUACACGGACAACCCCGGGCAAACUGGGAUUAAUCCAUGAUAGGCCACCACAUCUGGAAGGAGUGAUGGCCCAAAGGGGCGCGGAGGCUUCUUCUUCGCGCUUGCUCCACCAUGGGACUGCGGCCGAUCAGGCUGUUGGCGGUGUAAUGGACCACCAAACCUGUAACCGGUACGGGCUUUGAGAGAAGGAGCCCGGAGAUGGACACUGAUACAAGGGUCCAGGUCCUACGGGGCGCAGCAUGCGCGGAACCUUCGCAAUGCGCGAAAGCGUGACGAGGUUAGUCCGACUGGCCUCCGCUGAGGAGGUCUUCUGUUAGCUGUAAUAAGGCUAUAGAAUAAGGGGAGGGCAAGCCUGCUGUCAGACGA